CGCUGGCGGCGUGCUUAACACAUGCAAGUCGAACGAAGCAUCCAACUCUUCGGAGGAAGAAAUGACUGAGUGGCGGACGGGUGAGUAACGCGUGGGUAACCUGCCUUAUACAGGGGGAUAACAGUUAGAAAUGACUGCUAAUACCGCAUAACCCGCUAGUACCGCAUGGUACAGACGGAAAAGAUUUAUCGGUAUAAGAUGGACCCGCGUCUGAUUAGCUAGUUGGUGAGGUAAUGGCUCACCAAGGCGACGAUCAGUAGCCGGCUUGAGAGAGUGAACGGCCACAUUGGGACUGAGACACGGCCCAAACUCCUACGGGAGGCAGCAGUGGGGAAUAUUGCACAAUGGGGGAAACCCUGAAUGCAGCAACGCCGCGUGAAGGAAGAAGUAUUUCGGUAUGUAAACUUCUAUCAGCAGGAAAGAAAAUGACGGUACCUGACUAAGAAGCCCGGCUAACUACGUGCCAGCCGCGGC
rnacentral:rRNA from 1 species